rnacentral:rRNA from 1 species
AGCGGUGGAUGAUGUGGAUUAAUUCGAUGCAACGCGAAGAACCUUACCUACGCUUGACAUGUACGGAAUCCUGCUGAGAGGUGGGAGUGCUCCAAAGAGAACCGUAACACAGGUGCUGCAUGGCUGUCGUCAGCUCGUGUCGUGAGAUGUUGGGUUAAGUCCCGCAACGAGCGCAACCCUUGUCCUUGAUUGCUACGCAAGAGCACUCUAGGGAGACUGCCGGUGACAAACCGGAGGAAGGUGGGGAUGACGUCAAGUCCUCAUGGCCCUUAUGGGUAGGGCUUCACACGUCAUACAAUGGUCGGUACAGAGGGCUGCCAAACCGCGAGGUGAAGCUAACCCCAAAAAACCGAUCGUAGUCCGGAUCGCAGUCUGCAACUCGACUGCGUGAAGCUGGAAUCGCUAGUAAUCGCGCGAUCAGCAUGUCGCGGUGAAUACGUUCCCGGGUCUUGUACAC